rnacentral:rRNA from 1 species
ACGUAGGGGGCAAGCGUUGUCCGGAAUUAUUGGGCGUAAAGGGCGCGCAGGCGGCCUUUUAAGUCCCGUGUCUAAACCCGGAGCUCAACUUCGGGACGCACGGGAAACUGGGAGGCUUGAGUGCAGGAGAGGAAAGCGGAAUUCCACGUGUAGCGGUGAAAUGCGUAGAGAUGUGGAGGAACACCAGUGGCGAAGGCGGCUUUCUGGCCUGUAACUGACGCUGAGGCGCGAAAGCGUGGGGAGCAAACAGGA